CUAGCAACCAGCCAUGCUGGAGCCCUGACUCACUUACCAGCAAAAUAACAGCAGAUUUCAUGGGCUGAGAAAGAAAGCACAUUGAAAAGAUCAGAGAAGACUUUCGAUGGCUUCCUCUUCUUGUGGAUGGAGCCCCAAUUCCUCAGCAUGGCUGAACUGUGUGUCCUGCAAUGACAGAAGUCCACAGGGGCAGAUGGUGACUGAUGGCCCCAAGGCAAGGUGGUUCAGUCAAAUCGUGAGAUGAGCAGGACUCCUAGACCUCAGGCCACCUGGGACCAGAGACUCAAGGAAGCCCUGCCUCCCCUCUCCAGGCUCUGCACAGCAGCCUCUUUCUCUGUGGGUGGAGUGGUGCCCACACGUGGCAGGGAGCUCACAGCCAGAAGAUUCCUCCUCUGGAGCAGCCUGACCUUCCUCCUUAAUCCUCCCCUGAAAACUCCCCAGGAAGGACUGGGUCCGAGUCCACCCCUGACCAGUCACCGUGACCAGAAAGGUGGAGUCCUGUGUCAGGCUGGGGGCUCCUGAGGGAUCAGGUGGCAGGAGGAAGGGGUCCAGCAUGGGGUGCUGUCCCAAGCAUCAGAAAGGGGUGCGGGCAAGCACCGUGACCCACUAAGGGGCUCACAAGGUAGCUGAGCUGCCUUCCCGGCCAGUGUUUGAAAUUAAAAGGCUAAAAAUGACUUUGUUGUCUGACCAUUGAAGUACUCGAUAAGGAAAACACGGAUAUUAAACUUAUAAAGGCAGUUAAAAAUAUUGGAAGGUGUUUCUCUUUACCAAGUUUUCAACUGAAAGCAAAUGUUAAUGAAAGACCCAUUGAAAGUGAUUUCUGGCUGUACACUAUCAAUGAAUAAUCAAAAAAUAUA
rnacentral:lncRNA from 1 species